UGGGGAAUUUUGGACAAUGGGCGAAGCAUGCAUCAGCCAAAUGCCGCGUGUGUGAAGAAGGCCUUCGGGUUGUAAAGCACUUUUGUCCGGAAAGAAAUCCUUGGCUCUAAUACAGUCGGGGGAUGACGGUACCGGAAGAAUAAGCACCGGCUAACUACGUGCCAGCAGCCGCGGUAAUACGUAGGGUGCAAGCGUUAAUCGGAAUUACUGGGCGUAAAGCGUGCGCAGGCGGUUUGCUAAGACCGAUGUGAAAUCCCCGGGCUCAACCUGGGAACUGCAUUGGUGACUGGCAGGCUAGAGUAUGGCAGAGGGGGGUAGAAUUCCACGUGUAGCAGUGAAAUGCGUAGAGAUGUGGAGGAAUACCGAUGGCGAAGGCAGCCCCCUGGGCCAAUACUGACGCUCAUGCACGAAAGCGUGGGGAGCAAACAGGAUUAGAUACCCUGGUAGUCCACGCCCUAAACGAUGUCAACUAGUUGUUGGGGAUUCAUUUCCUUAGUAACGUAGCUAACGCGUGAAGUUGACCGCCUGGGGAGUACGGUCGCAAGAUUAAAACUCAAAUGAAUUGACGGGGUCAUAGCUGUUUCCU
rnacentral:rRNA from 1 species